ensembl:lncRNA
ACGCACAUCAUCAUAACAACCUCACUCAAACCAAUACAGCUCAAACCAACUCAACUCAAACCAACUCAACUCACAUCAUCAUAACAACUUAACUCAGACCAACACAACUCAACUCACAUCAUCAUAACAACUCAACUCAAACCAACUCAACUCACAUCAUCAUAACAACCUCACUCAAACCAACUCAACUCAACUCAACUCACAUCAACAUAACAACUCAACUCAAACCAACAAAACUCACAUAAUCAUAACUCAACAGUUCUACUCGCCAACUCUAACAAACAGCUCAACUCCACAACAUAACAAUGAUUCAUCCUCUCAACCAACAGCACAACAACUCAACUCACAACUAUUCGACCCAUCGGAUCAACUCUAGUACAUUGGACCAUCAGGCAGUGCUUCACGUUUGGGUGGAUAAUGGUGGAUUGAUCUGGCUGUAGUAAUUCUACCCCUAGAGAACAUGAUGGUGGAGAGAGUAUUACUGUUAUUUCUUUCCUGUUUGUCUUGUUAAGGUUUUCUGACUUUUCACUGGGCAUAUUCUACUGAGUCAGCUCUGUUCAAGCCUGUUUAAGUUGCUUUGAAGGAUAAAAAGAGUGCGCAUGUGUGUGUGUGCACACUUGUCUUAAACGGAGGACAUUCUCCCUCAGCAAAACGUCUCACUUUUCCCACAUCCGUUCUUUUUCUCAUUCGAUACAAUGCCAUAUUGAUCUUCUGCGUCUAAUAAACGACGACCUGAAUACACCGGUCCAAUGUCCAGACUCAUCUUUUUUGCCAAAUUUCUGACACGUUAGACAGCGAACCAAACCAGGUAACAAAUCAUCAUGUGACAACCGACCGACUCGGAAAGGGACCAAACAGAAUCCAGAGCCAGGACGCUAAGGACAGCAGGCGCUGUAUAACAUUGUCUUCCAGAUCAACCAGUUCAUUUUUCAUUCUAUGCCUAAAUAAGGAAGUGACAGAGUAUGGGUUGUAAAAAGUCAGCUUUGGUUAAGGAGGCGUGGCCUCUGUGCCCGUAAGUGUCCCAUCAGAUCAUCGAUCAAGUUCCGCAUCAAAUCAUCUGGGAAAGCGACAUGCACCGCUAGAACAGAGUGUUCUCCGUGCUGCUCAUUUGCAUUCAGUCUGACUAUUUAUAUCUGCCGGAAUUACACAAGUCAAAACAAAGUAUUCACACACACUGCUGUGCUUUUUCCCAACUUACUAAGACUCCCUCACAGAGAAAACAUCACAAAAAAAAGAUGGUGGUCCAUCUGCAAGAUUCAGAUUAGUGGGCGUGUCUUGGUACCCGUGUAUGAACCCGAAGACACGCCUUUUCUAUGUUUCUGAGCAGGUCAAAUAAAUCCGUCAGUAUGAUAAGGUUUUCUCCUGUCAUUAACAAUAUUUGUGAAAAUACCUGACUAUUUCCACACCCGAGCUCAGAGACACACCUCACGUUCCCAUAUAUGGUCUCGGACAAUCCCACAUUUCCAUACAAGAACUCAAUAGACACACUCAAAUCUCCACAGGUGAACUGAGAGAUGAGCCAAUCCAUGUUUGAUUCCUAAGACACGCCCAUAUUUUCCAUAUAUGGUCUUCAAAUCACACCCAUCGAAGACGCUUCCAUUUCAAUAUAUGAGUUCCGAGACAUGUCUAUAUUAGCAUGUAUGGACUCACAUUCCUGCUUAUACGUCCAUGUCGGAUUUAAGUCUCCUCUAUUUUCAUAUAUAGACACAGAGUUUCAGAUAUUCCGCCAUAUAUGGACACAGUCUCAACAAAUAUACAUAUAUGGAUUCGGGUCCUGCCUAUAGUGCCAUAUAUGGACAUAAGCUCACCUAUAUUGAAGUAUAUAUAGACUCAAAGUUUCAGCUAUACUUCCAUAAAUGGACGCAACGUCCAGCAAUAUUUCCAAAUCUGCACUCCAGUCUCAAUUCUACUUCUAUAUAUGGACUCGAGUCCCACCUGGAUUUCCAUAUUCCGACACAGUCACACCUACAUUGAAGUAUAUGGACUCUAAGGUUCAGCUAUACUUCCAUAUUUGGACGCCAUCCUAUAUUUCCAUAUCUCAACUCUAGUCCCACUUCUACUUCCACAUAUGGACUCAUGUCCCGCCGGUAUUUCCAUAUAUGGACACAUAAAUGGAACUAUAUAGACUCAAGAUUCCAUACUUCCUAUAUACUAUAUAUAUAUGGACUAAAUAUGGAUUAAAGUCCCGCCUCAAUUUCCAUAUCUGGACUCCAAUGAUCAGCUAUAUUUCCCUAUAUGGCCUCAAAGCCCCGCCCAUAUUUCCGUAUAUGUACUCCUUUUUCUCUGAACGCCUAGAUGUCAAACUCUAAUUUUGUGCUCUAAACAUGAAGCUCCUCCCACAUUACCAUAAAACCCCGCCCACUCCGCUGACCUCCGAGCCGGCCGUUAUGAGAGGAAGGAGAAUGUUUGGCCUGUGCUGAUGGUGACAGACCACGCAGCUGGCAUGUAUGCGUCUGUGUGUGUGUGUGUGUGUGUGUGUGUGUGUGUGUGCGUGCGCUGAAAGUGCGAUGGUGCCGGGAGUGGGAGUGUGAACGAGUGGGAGUGUGACAGCUCGUGCAUGCCUGUUAAGCGUGUGUGUGUUGGCAAGUUGUGUUCUGUUUGAUUAGCCAAUGAUAGGGGAUGAAAGCCAGAUCAUCAAGAGGAGUUUGAUCAGCUGCGGAGAACACACACACUAUCAUCCACGCUGACACACACACACACACACACACACACACACACCAUCAUCUACUCUGACAUACGCACCGUCAUCCAUGAUGUGACUGUGACGAGAAAAAGAACUCGGGUUAAUGAAAGACCGAUUACUCAGUCUAAUUAUCCAUUCUCUCUCUCUCUCUCUCUGUAUAUCUAUCUGUUAUGUCUUUUACUUUAUCUCUCUCUCUCUCUCUCUCUCUCUCUCUCUCUCUCUCACUCUGUGACCUUGUGCUGUCAGCUGUUUUAACAAGGCUUAAACGAACACACCAGUUGUGUGUACAUGGGGUGUGCACUGCCCAUGUAGCAUGAGCUAUGAUAUGAUACGCUGGUACAUGCCAACACACACACACACACACACACACACACACACACACACACACACACACAAUUUCAGCGAAAUCAAUAUUUUUUUAUUGAGGAAUCCAUUAUGUCAAGAACUCUUGACGUGCACCUGAAAGGAAAGCAAGUGAAAGCAUCGGAGCGUCUCCGGGUUCCCGCAGUCCGCUUUCCCAUGAACCCUCACUGCGUCGCGAGAAUGCGGCAGUCAUAAUUUCAUCUACAGCCUCAAGUACAACCCUGAUGUCACUAUUACAACUCAAAAUGUAAUUAAAGAUCUAUAAUGAGCAAUUUGUGUAAUCUGGUCACCCAAGGAAAGCGUUAAAAACAGCUCGCCCCACUCACACACCACCUACGCCUUUGUUUGGCGUCUUGUUUUUUGCUGAAAAACCUCCUUCCUGCGAGCCUUUGAGAAGUUUAAUCACCUCUCCUUCUUUCUCUCUCUCUCUCUCCCUCUCCCUCCUUCUCUCUCUCCCCCUCUCCCGCCUUCUCUCGCUCUCCCUUCUCUCUCCCCACCGCUGUGCCGCGGAGUCGUGUUGGCGUGACGGGGUGGAAAAGGUCACUCCUGUUUCUUCGUUUUCGGGGCAAGUGGAGCGAGGGAAGAGGAGGAGCGAGGAGGAGGGCAGAAGCAGGUAGAGGCCUCUCUGCACUCGUCCGCUGUUCUGUCGGUUCUGUGGACCGAGCGCUAAUGGGGCGUCACGCUGAGCUGGCGCAGAGCACGCCUGCUGCUGCUGCUGUACAUUAUGGGAAACACACCUUCACACACACACACACACACACACACACAGAGAGAGAGAGAAGGCCGAUCGAUGCAGUAAGAGAUGCGGAAUUGCGCGCGUGUGUGUGCGUGUGUGAGAGGAAAAAACAGAGCCAACAGCAACACAAAGACAAAUUUGAUAUUUUUUUUAUGAUCCACUCGACACAAUUACACCACAGGAGCAUUUUCUCCAUUCUCAUGAUGUGUGUGUGUGUGUGUGUGUGACCCCAGUGCACGAUGUGUGAUGAAAUAUCAAAUCUCCACAAAGAUAUACACACGGUGUAAGACAAGAACAAUACAACAAAUUACACAACACACACACACACACACACACACACACACACACACACGCUCCAGAAGCGAAGAUGUACUCAUGGGAAAUAUUCGAUAGUCGUUUACUACUCAGGUGGCCGAUCAAUUCUCAAAAUAAUUAUGACAGACAAGUUAAUCUGCAGGAUUUCUACAAUCUCAACGGUACUCUUUCACUUCCUGUGGUUCCUGCUUCUCUACACAGACUCCGCCCACUAAAAAAAACUCGUGUAAUAUUCCUUUUCAGCCAGUUUUGUGAUAGCUCCGCCCAUCGGAACCUUUACACUUUCCCCGUUAACCCUUCGCCUAACCGAACCCUAGGUGAAAUAAAUUCCAUUCUAAUUUGGAGAUAUCGUUUCAGAUUGUCAGCCUCCUCAGCCAAUCAGAUUCGCCUCGUAUCUGGCCUCCAUUUACGCAAGCGCGCGUUUUACAUACGGGACGUCUGAGUCGGGGAGAUUAAAAAAAUAAAGUCAGAACUCGGCAAUUAAUCAUCGUUUGGUUGGAUAUAGUGAUACGGUGGGGUAGACAAAGAGCAUAUGGAGAGUGAGACCGUCAGAGUGAGGCAAAGAGUGAGACAGAAAGAGUGAAACAGAUACAGUGAGGUAGACAAAGAGCAUACGGAGAGUGAGGCAAAGAGUGAGACAGAAAAAAGUGAAACAGGUACAGUGAGGUAGAUAAAGAGCAUACAGAGAGUGAGACAGUCAGAGUGAGGCAAAGAGUGAGACAGAGUGAAACAGAUACAGUGAGGUAGACAAAGAGCACACAGAGAGUGAGACAGUCAGAGUGAGACGGGAAAAAGUGAAACAGGUACAGUGAGGUAGACAAAGAGCAUACAGAGAGUGAGACAGUCAGAGUGAGACAGUCAGACUGAGACAGAAAAAAGUGAAACAGGUACAGUGAGGUAGAAAAAGAGCAUACAGAGAGUGAGACAGUCAGAAUGAGGCAAAGAGUGAGACAGAAAAAAGUGAAACAGGUACAGUGAGGUAGACAAAGAGCAUACAGAGAGUGAGACAGUCAGAAUGAGGCAAAGAGUGAGACAGAAAAAAGUGAAACAGAUACAUUGAGGUAGAAAAAGAGCAUACAGAGAGUGAGACAGUCAGAGUGAGACAGUCAGAGUGAGACAGGAAAAAGUGAAACAGGUACAGUGAGGUAGAAAAAGAGCAUACAGAGAGUGAGACAGUCAGAGUGAGACAGUCAGAGUGAGACAGGAAAAAGUGAAACAGGUACAGUGAGGUAGAAAAAGAGCAUACAGAGAGUGAGACAGUCAGAGUGAGACAGUCAGAGAGAGACGGGAAAAAGUGAAACAGGUACAGUGAGGUAGAAAAAGAGCACACAGAGAGUGAGACAGUCAGAGUGAGACAGUCAGAGUGAGACGGGAAAAAGUGAAACAGGUACAGUGAGGUAGACGAAGAGCACACAGAGAGUCACAUAUGGACCGGUUUCACUGAUCGACACGGACGUAUUUCAUGAAUCUGCUCUGUAUUCAUCGUGUUUCUCAGGUCUAAGACCGUGAAGAUCGGACUUGCGUUCUCGUGAAGUCUGUGAAGAACCGGUCUUGCCCGGCUACCUUGGAAGAACGACCUUCACGCAUCUUUGCGAGAACUGAGAUGUGCUGCGCGCUUCCUGCUGCGCGGUGCACCGUCCCAGCACAUCUCUCGUAGAGGGACAGGACCGUCGUCUCUUCAUUGCUGCCGGAGUAAUAUGUUUCAGCCGCUUAACAGAUUCGCUCUUACACGGCUGAUUAACCGGAAGUUAAUUAAGACCAGUUUAAUGUAGUAAGCUCGCUGCGACCUCACGUUAACUAAAAACGAAGCUGAGGAGUUUCCCGUCUCCUCAGGGUGGACGCUAGCGUUGAUUAAUUCAAAUAUUUCGGAGAGAUAGAUUCCACUUUUCAACCAGCUCAUAUAUAUCUCAAUCUAAAUCUUAUCUCACAUGCGUUCUUUUACGAUGCAUCUUUGGAUUAUUGUCUGUAAAGAGACGUUAAAAGUGUCAUGUGACCGCCGCUUUCGUCACGGGGCAGGCUUCAGAGAGAGAGAGAGAGAGAGAGAGAGAGAGAGAGAGAGAGAGACGGAGGGUUCGAUAUAGUGAGGUAGACAAAGAGCAUCUAGAGAGUGAGACAGAAAAAGCGUGAGCUGGAUAGUGAGACAUAGAAAGAGAGUAAGGCAAAGAGUGAGACAGACAAAGAAUGAGACAGAAUGUGAGACAGACAAAGAAUGAGACAGAGAGUGAGACAGACAAAGAGCAUCUAGAGAGUGAGACAGAAAAAGAAUGAGCUGGAUAGUGAGACAUAGAAAGAGAGUAAGGCAAAGAGUGAGACAGACAAAGAAUGAGACAGAAUGUGAGACAGACAAAGAAUGAGACAGAGAGUGAGACAGACAAAGAGCAUCCAGAGAGUGAGACAGAAAAAGAAUGAGCUGGAUAGUGAGACAUAGAAAGAGAGUAAGGCAAAGAGUGAGACAGACAAAGAAUGAGACAGAGAGUGAGACAGACAAAAGAGCAUAUAGAGAGUGAGACGGAUAGUAAGACAGAGAGAGUGAGACAAAGACUGAGAGAGAAAAAAGUGAAACAUAUAGUGAGGUAGACAAAGAGCGUAUAGAGGGCGAGACAGAAAAACAGUGAGCUGGAUAAUAGACAGAGACAGAGAGACAGAGAGUGAGACAGACAAAGCACAUAGAGAGUGAGACGGAUAGAGAGAGAGAUGCAAAGAGUGAGAUAGGGAGUGAGACAGGCAAAGAAUGAGACUAAGUAUGAGGCAGAAAAGGAGCAAGAUAGAGUGAGGCAAAGAGUGAGACAGGUAUAUAUAUAGAGACAGAUGCAAAGAGUGAGACAGGGAGUGAGACGAAGUGUGAGGUAGAAAAAGAGUGAGACAAAGAAUGUGAGAGAGUGAGGUACAGCGUGAGGCACAAAAAAAAGAGAGCGGCAGAGAGUGAGACCAAAAGAGUGCAGUAGAGUGAGGCAGAAAGAGUGAGACAGAGAGCGAGACAGAAAAAAACCCUCUUUCUCUCAUCCUCGCUAACUAGCGUUUAACUGAGCAGCUAGCGUAUCAUUUACCUCCUGCCUGCUCACACGGAUGCACGUGUGCAGGUGUUUCACACGCCACACACUCAAUCUAAUCCAUUACACGACAAGAUAAACAACUUUAAACCUUCAACGGAAACAAGACCUCAGCUACGCUAAGCUAGCUGUCUUCAUCCGUGUCUGAGAGAAACUGAAGAAGACGCGCUUUUGGCUAAUGUGAGCGAGUGGUGCGGUGGAGUGUAAUCUAACGCAACGCCUCAUAAUCCGGUCAUCGGGGUUCAAAUCUAGACGACGCCUCUGUGUUGCUUCCACGCAUUUCCUUCACACCUCCAUUUACCUUCCUAAGGUUGAAGAAAAGCAUGUUGCGAGCACAUAAUCUAGUUGUGUUAGUCUAAAAAUUACCGGGCUAAUUUAAGAGCCAUUACAGCAAUAUACUAUAAUCUACUCCACUUUUACAGCCAUUAUGGAUCCAGUGUCUUAUUUCUAAACCGGUGUCUAUGAGCUUCCCUCGCUCGUUAGCCUGUACACGCCAGUCUAAAGACGUGAGAGCAAACAUCUGGCAUCGAGCUUGUACCUGUUCUUAAAUAUCAGACGAGUGGAUUAUGUUACACACGCUGCGUUAAAGUUAAGUCGAUUCAAUUUCCUGUCUAGUCCAGCCUUCAUCGUCAUUACUGUCCUCGUCGUCAUCAUCAUCAGCGUUAUCGUCAGAGAGAGAGAGAGACAGACAGAGAGAGACAGACAGAG